rnacentral:tRNA from 1 species
GCGUCAGUGGUUUAGUGGUAACAUCCAUCGUUGCCAUCGAUGGGCCCCGCGUUCGAUUCGCGGCUGACGCA